CAUCUGUGGGACCCACUAUAAUAAAAAAAGUGAAGAUACAAUUGCCUGGGUCUGGGUCAGGGUGUGAUGAGUGGUGGGGAAUUGUUUUGUGCAUUGUUUUUAAACCCACCGAGGAGCGUCAUCAUGAUUACCAACUGGACUAUCUCUUUGAAGUGGAUGAAUGCCUAAUGACUUAUUACGCAUUUGGACUUGGAGACCCUACUUUUUUUAUUAAAAUUACGGCAGAAUAUGGAGGGGAAUGGUCUCGUACAUAUUAUACGUCAGAAUAUGUUAAAGUGGAAUCGCAUCAUCUUUGGCUGCAUAGUCUGUCCAAGGAAUGUUUACUUCCAACAGAGAUUGAUAAUAAGCGACUCCAUGAAGUUGAGCUUGAAAUAGAGACCGGGCGCAUGGAGGUGGAGAAAAUUGGGCUUCGUGUGGUAUAAAAGCAAGACAUUGAAGAUCCCAAUUGAGAUGCUUUCUUCAGUUGGUGAUGAAAUCUAGGGUUUGAAGAUCCCAACCAAAAUAUGCGAAGCCCAUGAUGAGGAUGAUGGGGAAUUCUUUUCUUCACUUCUUUUACCUCUCGUGAACCCAAACAACAAGGACAUCAGGGAUAUUCUAGGAUUAGCCCCCCCAGCAAUGACUCGGAAAUUACUUUGGAGUGCUAGUUAAAAAUUUAGAAAAGGAUCAUCUAAUGAGAUUGUGAUGAUGAUUUGUCAUCUUAUUGGAUGGAAUAGCUUAGCUUGUAAUGCUACCGGUGGCACCUGUUUUAUAGAGCUGCUCUACUUGAGUAUGGAUUUCUUUCUAGUGAUUUUUCUGCAGAGUGGUCAAACUUUCACGAAUGAUAGUCUCUCAAACAACUGCUGGGAUUCAUUAGCUUCAAUUGGAAGUGGAAAUUAUGUGAGAAAGAUGAGUUUACAGGAAUUUGUGAGAGAAUGGAGGCCAAACUAGAAUUAAAGUGGAGCUAAAGGACCAUGCUUAAAUGUCUAAGGAGGUGCAGCUGGAGUGCUUGGAUCGUCUACCAUGAUUGGAAGCUUCAAAUAAGGAAAGAAAUCAAAGAAGCAGAAUCUGAAAAGGAAAAAUCUGAUUUGAGUACUGAUCAGUAUUUUAGGCGUAUCUCUCUCCUCAAAAAUCCAAUUGACACAAGGCCAGAUGGGUUGGAACCGUGACUUAAAUAUCUACAACUUUCCAGUUUUGAGUUUUUCGAAAUUAUCAAUUUUUGAAGGCCGAAAUUAACUCACAAGUUACCGCUGUAAACCUGGACGGAAAUUAAAAUAGUAAAUGUUUUAUUUUCUUGGGACACUUAGACAUGAGGGUUUUGAAGGGAGGCUGGUAGAACGAAUUUUGGCAGAGAAAACCUUGUAUUUUUCUUUCUCUAAUGGCAGCCUAAACUCUUUGCUAGGGCUAGGGGCUAUGUUUCUUCUAUACGGUAUGAAUAUUUAAUGUGAUUCUUUCUAGGAUUUUAUCAAUAACAUAUUUGAUUGUUCAAUUA